UGUGAGGCUGAUGUGUAGGCAAAUCCGCACAUCAUUAAGGCUGGGCUGUGAUGGGGAGCGAAAAUUGCAGUAGCGAAGGUCAUGAGUUCAGGCUGCCAAGAAAAGCCUCUAGCCAGGUGAAGGUGCCCGUACCGCAAACCGACACAGGUAGGCGAGCAGAGUAUGCUAAGGCGCUCGGAAGAACUCUCGUUAAGGAACUCGGCAAAAUGACCCCGUAACUUCGGGAGAAGGGGUGCCUCGGUAGGGUGAAUAGCCCGAGGGGGCCGCAGUGAAAAGGCCCAAGCGACUGUUUAGCAAAAACACAGGUCUGUGCGAAGCCGUAAGGCGAAGUAUACGGGCUGACGCCUGCCCGGUGCUGGAAGGUUAAGGGGAGUGGUUAGCCGCAAGGCGAAGCUAUGAACCGAAGCCCCAGUAAACGGCGGCCGUAACAAUAACGGUCCUAAGGUAGCGAAAUUCCUUGUCAGGUAAAUUCUGACCCGCACGAAUGGCGUAACGACUUGGGCGCUGUCUCAACGAGAGAUCCGGUGAAAUUUUAAUACCUGUGAAGAUGCAGGUUACCCGCGACAAGACGGAAAGACCCCAUGGAGCUUUACUGCAGCUUGAUAUUGGACUUUGGUACGAUCUGUACAGGAUAGGUGGGAGCCUUGGAAAUCGGAGCGCCAGCUUCGGUGGAGGCAUCGUUGGGAUACCACCCUGAUCGUAUCGGAGUUCUAACCUGGUACCGUGAUCCGGUACAGGGACCGUGUCAGGUGGGCAGGUUGACUGGGGCGGUCGCCUCCUAAAAUGUAACGGAGGCGCCCAAAGGUUCCCUCAGAAUGGUUGGAAAUCAUUCGUAGCGUGCAAAGGCAUAAGGGAGCUUGACUGCGAGACCUACAAGUCGAGCAGGGACGAAAGUCGGGCUUAGUGAUCCGGUGGUACCGCAUGGAAGGGCCAUCGCUCAACGGAUAAAAGCUACCCUGGGGAUAACAGGCUUAUCUCCCCCAAGAGUCCACAUCGACGGGGAGGUUUGGCACCUCGAUGUCGGCUCAUCGCAUCCUGGGGCUGAAGUAGGUCCCAAGGGUUGGGCUGUUCGCCCAUUAAAGCGGUACGCGAGCUGGGUUCAGAACGUCGUGAGACAGUUCGGUCCCUAUCUGUCGUGGGCGUAGGAAAUUUGAGAGGAGCUGUCCUUAGUACGAGAGGACCGGGAUGGACGCACCGCUGGUGUACCAGUUGUUCCGCCAGGAGCAUAGCUGGGUAGCUACGUGCGGACGGGAUAAGCGCUGAAAGCAUCUAAGCGUGAAGCCCCCCUCAAGAUGAGAUUUCCCAGUAUGUAAGACCCCUGGAAGACGACCAGGUUGAUAGGUUCGAGGUGGAAGCGCAGCAAUGUGUGGAGCUGACGAAUACUAAUCGGUCGAGGGCUUAUCCG
rnacentral:rRNA from 1 species